AAGAGACAGCAGUCGCCGCGGUAAUACAGAGGGUGCGAGCGUUAAUCGGAUUUACUGGGCGUAAAGCGUGCGUAGGCGGCUUUUUAAGUCGGAUGUGAAAUCCCUGAGCUUAACUUAGGAAUUGCAUUCGAUACUGGGAAGCUAGAGUAUGGGAGAGGAUGGUAGAAUUCCAGGUGUAGCGGUGAAAUGCGUAGAGAUCUGGAGGAAUACCGAUGGCGAAGGCAGCCAUCUGGCCUAAUACUGACGCUGAGGUACGAAAGCAUGGGGAGCAAACAGGAUUAGAUACCCGUGUAGUCCCUGUCUCUUAUAC
rnacentral:rRNA from 1 species